rnacentral:lncRNA from 1 species
UCUUUACACAUUCACAGACUACUCAUGUUGGAGGGGCUCCUAGAGACUGAAGUAGUAUUUGGGCUCCCAUCUGUCUUUCUGCCUGUCCUUCUUUUUUUCCUUUUUCUACAGGUGGGAAACACCCCUUUCCUGACUCCCUGAUUCUGAACUGGGCUGUCCAUCAACAAUGCAAGGUCUGAGUUCCAGGGGUCCGGUGGGCAGGCCACAUCGUGCAUGUGGUGUGAGGGCCUGAAGGUGCUUCCACAAGACGGAUACUCAGAGUCAUUUUACUCUGGUUGAAGCCUUCCCACCCAGCCAGCAUUUGACAAGCACCACUAACAAGCAGUGAAAUUGACUGGCUGAUUCCAUCUCUCCAUCCUUUCAAACUCGUGCUAAUGAGCAGGCGAAUCACAAACAGGGAAAAGAGGGAAGAGGCAGGAUGCUCGGAUAAUCCCCCAACUGGAACACCCCUUCUGCAAUCAUUGCAAUCAUAUGGACAUGCACCAGCUGGAUUUAAAAUCGAUUAGAAAGAUUGACACCAAAAGAUAUUUAAAGGAAAAGUUGCCUGAUGUUCUUUCAAUUCCUCCACAUUAUGAAGACUGAUUCCAGUUUAAGGAGAAUUCUAGGAAUCUUCCUUCAACUUUCUGGUCCUGAAAGACCAGGUCCAUAAAAGGAUGUGGUUGGAGCAGAUAAUCUGCAGCAGCUCUGGUGUGCCUGAAACUGUCAGCAGUUAAACCGCUCCUGUUCCUUUUUGAGAUCUUAAUCAGAAAUGAAUAUGCAUCAAAGACACCCCAGAGCGAGACCCUCUUCCGUGUUAUUUCUACUGAAUGAGAGGCAGGAACUGCAUCAGUGUUUUGCAUGUCGUGAACUAUGGCCAUGAGACUAGAGUCCCCAGGAUGACACUCCACCAUCUGACUCAUGCUGAGGGCUCACACUGGCCCCUGAUAUUAUUUCUGAAGCCCUAACACUGAACGUAAAAACCUGGGAGAGAACUGUACGGAAGGACUCCAGGAUCCUGAUAGCCCCCAUGGAACAGGGCUUCGUGGAUUCAGGCGUCAGAAUCAAGCCUAGAGAGAGGAGAUGUUUACCGCUCAUGGCAGAGUGAGGCCUCGCGGUGAAUGGAAAGCAUGGCUGGGCACAGGGGUGGUCCUGAUGGAGGGGCCAGAGGCUGAUGAUGGCGUGGAGGCCCUGACACAGGGCAGCCCCGCCAGCCUCUGCAUGGCCGGGGGAGUUACACCCUUGAGGACGGGUUCCAGGAAUAAGAUGUGUGAUAUGCAGAAGACAACAGGGCCUUUGUGUGGAAAGGCAUCCGUGAAUUAACACCAAUGGCGGAGAGCAGGCAGUAGGGAAGCGGCCGCGGUGGGCGCUGUUCCGCACCCCAUGUGGUCUGGCUUGCACGGCCAGGGCAGCCCAGGCGUCGGCCUCCUGUUUCUCUCCUGCCAUGAUCCUCUUUCUACCCCCAAAGCUCUUACCUGGCCCCUGUAUCCAAGCCUUCCUCGGGUACUGCCCUGGCCAGGAGAGAAGAAAGCACCCAGCCUCCUGGUCAGUGUUCCGCUGAAGCAUUGUAUGAGUCCGGGUUCUCUAGAGGGACAGGACUAAUGGGAUAGGUGUAUACAUGAAGGGGAGUUUAUUAAGGAGAAUUGACUCA